CGGGUGGAAACGACUGGGAAGGGCAGCCCGGAUAAGUUUCAUGGGAGCAAGGGAUGGUUUGAGAAGUUUAGAAAUCGCCACAGUCUGCGAAAUUCGAGGUCGAUGGGAGCGGAAGAAGCGCUGACUGCCCAGUCGGCAUCCAAGUAUGUCCAAACAACUCCAGAGGCUGAUCAGAGCUAUGUGCCUCAACGGGUCUUCGAUGCCGAGGACAUGAGCCAGUUUUUUGGCAGUGCAUGCCUCCACGUACUUUUAGGGAAAGAGACAAAAAUCCGGAAAGCUUAGAGGAAGCUAAGGACAGGAUUUCCCUCAUUUUUUGGUGCCAGUGCCGCCGGUGACCAAAUGAUAAAACCAUUGCUGCUUUGUAAAGACCCUAAUCCCACAUGUCUUUUGGACAAAGAUAAAAACCGCCUUCUGUAUUCUGGAGUUCACACCCCAAACCGCUGCCCUCUUUUUGGAUUGGUUUCAUAAUUGUUUUAUUCAUCAGGCUGGGAGUUAUUUAAUAGAAAAAAAAAAAUCUUGAGUUCAGAGUGUUGCUAAUUUUGGACAGAGGUCCCAAUCGCCCAGACUCAUUUUUGGUUGCUCAUCUUAAUGUUGAUACUGUGUUUCUCCCCCUGGAAGGCACUAGCUGUCUUCAGCCCUUGGAUCAGGGUAUAAUUGAAGCAUUCAGGAGGUAUUACACCAAGCGUAUGUUUGACUGUAUUGAAAAAAACCCUUGUCUUACUUUGAGAGGAACAUGGCAACAGUACAACAUUGCUGAUGCUUUGGUAGUGAUAAAAGAGUCAAUGGAUGAUAUAAGACCAGCUGCUCUUAUUAAAGCCUGGUGGAAACUUUUGGAUGAUGUUGUGAAUGAUUAUGCAUGUUUCCCUAGAGCUAAUGAAGAAGUUGCAAAAAUCAUGGAGUCUGCAACACGGAUGGACUUUAACUUCAUUGAUAUCGAACGGGGAAAUUAAUGAGGUGCUCAAGUUUCAAGCUUUGUUCAUAACCGAAAGAGAGUCUAUAUCAAUAAAUAUGGAAGAAGACAAGACCCUGGAACUAGAGGUAAAGAUGAAUCUAAGGAAACUGAAUGCUUUCUUAUGCCAGGCCUCAGACCUCAUUGAUGCUGCAAAGGAUAGGGAUCCUUUCCCGUAUCGAAGUUUGGCCUUUAAAAAAGACUUCAAUAAAUUGUUAUAUACCUGUAAAGAGGUGCAAGAGAACCUUCAAAAUAAAGCAAAGGAGUUGAACAAAGAAGACACAAAGAGGAGGUAGUGUGGGUGUAGAAGAUGGAUACAAAAUCUGAGUCUGAAGGGGAGUCUGAAUCUGAAUCCCAAAAGGAGGAGAAGGUAGAGACAGAGAAAGAGGAUAAGAAGCCUCCAGAAGAAGAUCCUGGACCCUCAGGCAUUGGCGCCGAGACUUACUGUAUCUGAAGACUCUGCCAAAGCCAUAAAUGCAGAAUUGGAUUUUUGGAAUCUAACCUUAGAAUUGAAUCUGGAGAGAGUAGAAGUGCCUGAGUUGAAGAAGUGAAUCCAGAGGCGUUUUCUUCCAAAUGAUGACUCAUGUCUUGCCAUUCUUCCUCUCUUGUUCCAACAUCACUUUCAUCAUGACCAUGCUUAUCAUCAGCCACACAUCUAUAUUGUUUCAUCAUUUCACAAACAUUUACUGAGCAUAAGCUAUGUGGGGUCCCAUGCUAAACUUGGGGACAUGAUCUCAGGAAGCCAUCUCAGGAUCUAAGAUCCUGGCAGCUUCUUUCCUGUCCUAUCCAGUGCUCAGGACCCUUAGCCUGCAGCUCCCUUCAGCUAUCACCAGCAGCUCCGUAUCCGGCACUUACUCCAUCGUCUUUGUCAACUGUCCCAACGAGCAGAUUGCCAGAGAUAUUGCCAGGUCUCGUGGAGAGGCUCGGGUGCUGCCCCAGGAGGCUGGGGGAGCUACCGGGAUGCUACACGGUGGCCACUUUGGGCUCCCUCUCUUGCUUCUGACAACCCUGUGUGUCCACUACGCAGCUGUCAGCUUGGGGUGAUAAGAGGACCACGGCUGAAUGACCCCCCCCCCACCCCCAUGGAUCCUGCUCCUGGGCCUGAAAAUGGCUAUACUGGAUAAGAAGCUGGCUGCCUCUGUGAACAUCCUGCCCAAGGCAUCCUCACUGUGAGUUUUGCUGUGGCCUGUGGAAGAGUGUGGGAGUGCGAGGUCAGGUACUGGCUGGUGGGAAGGACAACGAACUAAUGGGAAAUUGUCAAAGAACAACUCAAAGGCAUUUGAUUAACGAACAGUUCAUUGUUAAUUUAUAUUCAGAGGAAAUCACCUAGUGGAUUUAUGUCAACCAAUAAAAGCAAAAAUAGGCUAUGUAAACAGAAGGGUGGAAAAAAAUUGUAGUUUAGGAACAAUGAAUCUUGUUUGCACAUUCUUUGUUUAAAUUUUUUUUUUUUAAGUUUAUCUUGAGAGAGAGAGACAGAGACAGAGACCGAACACAUGAGCGGCUGAGGGCCAGAGACAGGGAGAGAGUGAGAAUCCCAAGCAGGCUCUACACUGUCAGCACUGCCCCAGCUCGGGGCUCAAACCCAUGAACCAUGAGAUCAUGACCUGAGCUGAAGUCAAGAGCUGGAUGCUUAACCAACAUUCUUUGUUUAAAUUAGUUAGCUUGUUAUUAGCAAAGAAGUCAGACUGGGGGUACUUGAGUGGCCCAGUCAGGUUAAGCGUCUGACUUCAGCUCAGGUCAUGAUCUCACAGCCUAUGGGUUCGAGCCCCACGUCAGGCUCUGUGCUGACAGCUCAGAGCCUGGAGCCUGCUUUGGAUUCUGUGUCUUCCUCUCUCUCUGCUCAUUCUCAUUCUCUCUCUCUCUAAAAUAAAUAAACAUUAAAAAAAAAAAAGUCAGACCAGACAUUCCAUCCCUGAGUAAGCCUAUUAAGAUAUCAAGGAAAAUAAUUCCUGUCCCUUUUGAAUUCUGUGGGAAACUCAGAGGUUAGCUUAUGUGACAAGCUGCUUCUUUGUAGUGUCUGCUUCUCAUUUUGUUAACUCCCUCACAGGAGUUAAUCCUGGUUGUACCAUUUCCCUUAUCAAAAUAUCUCAGCCUCCCAGUACUAGCUGUGCAAGAUUUGUCUUAUGCCUUGAUAUCUCUGAUCAGCCUGUUUCUCAUCUCCUUCUUCCCCUGGUGGGGGAGGGGGAGAGAGAGAGAGAAAUAGUGUCUACUCUGAAGGUCAGAGCAGGAAAGUGCUGUGUUAUGAAAGCCCCCUCCACACCUCCAGCAACGCCCUCCCCUCAGUGGCUCACAUCUGUCUGUAGCUGUAGCUCCCAAGUGUGGCUGUGGGUUUUUUUAAUUUUUUAUCUUUAUUUAUUUUUGAGAGAAAGAGAGUGCAAGCAGGGGAGGGACACAGAGAGAGGGAGGCACAGAAUCUGAAGCAGGCUCCAGCUCUGAGCUGUCAGCACAGCCAAAUGUGGCUGUGUUUUAGAGGCCUGAGCUCCAUUCUGGAGCUGCUACUCAGUCAUUCUCCCUGGGGGUUGGGCCUGGCUCACUGAAUUUUAAAAAAAUUAUGUAAGUGAUUCACAUAAAGCCAGUGCUUGGGAACUAGAACAGCAUUUCAGCCUGGCAUUCCCUUCAUACGUCCAUCCUUUUUAUAAUCAAUCCCUUCACCACAGUGCCGAUGGCCUAGGUCAUCUUGGGCUUGCCCUGGGUCAGUGUAGAUAUUCUCAGGCCAAAUUUCUUUCCCUGCCAGUGAUGCUGUUUUUGUGUUCUUUUCUCAACAUCGUUAUUGACUUUUUUUUUUUUUUAACUUUUGGGCCUGUUUCUUUCCAUAUGUUAUAAAGCUCACUUUUUCCCUGAAGCCUCCUGUGUUUUUUUAGUUCUCCAUUUGUGGGUUCUCCACUUAAAGAGUCAGUAAUAAAAGUAGCAGUCCAAAGGAUGGGAAGGGCCUGGAAGUCAUGACUAUAGGAUGAGCACAGAAAGAGCUGGAAAUGCCCAAUUUGGAGGAGAGAAAACAGGAGUUUCUGUAGGGCUGUCCUGAGGUGGCUCUUCAUGUGGAAGUUAGGGAAAACAACUGGGUGGCAGAUGUUGGCAUACCGGAAGGAAAACCAUCUCAGGUGAAAGCCUGUAAGGUAGAUCGAUGGACUUCUUCAAGAGAUAAAAUGUUCAGACAGCUACUAGAAGCAUGCAUUAGAAUGAUUGGACUCGAUGACCUCUGGGGACUUGGCCAAUUAUAGACAUUUUUGUGUGGGGUUGGAAGGAUUUUAAAGUCUCCACCUUGGUAAGCCACCUAAUUGGGCCAGGUUUGGUAUCUCCUGGGCUCUUGUGAGCAUCAUAAUUUGGUUUUGUUCUCUUCUCCAGGUACUUUUGGAAUGGAGAAAUAGAAGAAGCCACUGAAAUCCUGUUGCUAAUAAAGACAAAGACUUCCAAGGUCCGCAUGCUGUUCAGCUAUAUCAGGUAAUGCUGGUGUGUCUUUUCAGCUAGGGAUGUCCUGGGAACUAAGUGAAUGAGCUUGAAAAGCAAGAGACCUAGAGCCUAGUCACCAACCUCUCAUAUGACCCUGGGCAUGUCCCUGUCCCUCAGAUUCUCCAGCUAUAAAAUGAGAGGCUAGAGUGAGUGAAUGGAGACAGUAGUUCUCAAGAUUUUGGUCUUCAGAUCCCAGGGGAGCUUAAGGUUAUAUUAAAGUUUAUUGCAUUAGAAAGUAAGACUACGAAAUUAAAAAAAUGUUUUAGCUCAUUUAAAAUAAUAACAAUACAACUGUUCUAUAUAAACAUAAGUAAUACAUUUUUAUGGGAAGUAACCAUAUAUUCCAAGAAACAAAGUGAGAAAAAUGGCAUCAUUUUAUAUUUUGGCAACAUCUGGCUUGUUGAGAAGGCUGCGUCUCCUCAGAAAACAGACUCCCUCUUAAGUACUGGGACACUUUUACGCUCAUGAUGAUAAACUCAAACUUUCAAACUUCUAAUUUUUGCUUGAAAACAUGAAUUUUUUUCCUCAACAAAUGGUAUCAGUUGUCUUCAUUUGAGUGAUCGGCUCACUUUGUUCACAUUAGAGAAAAACGUCUGCCUAAUGCUCAAACCACAGUAACCAGCAUUUGUAAACAUGACAGACAAAUUAUGGUCACUCAGGCUUGAAAUUAAAAAUGGUGUUCCAUGAAAAAAAGUGCAGUUUGUUUAGUUUGGCUUGUGGCUUCAAUGGGCAGACAGGUUUAAGACAACAUUGAACUUCAGUAUCCGGCAGAAGUGCUUUAAUGUGCACUUUCCAUUUCGUCAUUAAUGAGACAGGGACUCCAGGGCUGAAGUGCAAUAGCAAUAGCAAUCUUCGCUGUUUUAUUGAGGAUGUUCUUGAGUGAACGUUUUUCUGAAGCCCGAGCGUGCGGUGGAGAAGAGCACCGUGAGGCUCAUACACUGUGGUGCCACUGCCUUGCCGCGUGCUGAGGUGCCAGCAGUCUUACUCGGCAUUGUUUUGCACCAGCAAGCAGUGCAGGGGUCAACACAGUAAGAAGAUUAAUAGAAAAUUAGUAUUUUUCGGGGCGCCUGCAUGGCUCCGUUGGUUAAGCAGCCGACUUCGGUUCAGGUCAUGAUCUCGCGGUUCGUGGGUUCGAGCCCUGCAUCCCACUCCGUGCUGACAGCUCUGAGCCUGGAGCCUGCUUCAUAUUCUGUGUCUCCCUCUCUCCCCUCCCCGCCCCCCCCCCCAACUCUCUCUCUCUCUCUCUCUCAAAAUAAACAUUAAAAAAAUGAAAACUAGUAUUCUUCUGAAAACAGUUUUGGCCUCAUGGACCUGGCAGAGUGUUGGAAUUCCCCAGGGGUCAGUGGGCCUCACUCUGAAAACUGCUGGUCUAGAUUGGUGUUCACGGUAUGGUUUGGGGAGUAAUUGGCAUCACCUGGAAGCUUGCUAGGACUGCCUCCUCACUGUCACCCCAAACUAAGGAGUCAAACUACAGUUUAACAAGAUCCCCAUGGGAUUCCUAUGCACGUUAAAGCUCGAGAAGCGCUGGCUUAAAUCAUUGAUGCUUGGGGCUCCCGGGUGGCUCAGUUAAGUGUCCAACUUCAGCUCAGGUCACGGUCUCCUGAUUCGUGAGUUCCAGCCCUGCAUCGGGCUCUCUGCUGUCAGCACAGCUUCGGAUCCUCUGUCCCCCCUCUCUCUCCGCCCCUCCCCAACACAUGUGUGCUCUCUCUCUUCCUCUCAAAGGAAAAAAAAAAUCAGUGAUUCUUGGUGGUGGCACGGCAGCUCUUACUACUAACGUGUUAAAACGGUCUUAUUCUGUGUGUCCAAACACUGCCUUCAUACACACACUGAGUUCUGUAUGUCUGCUAAUAAAAACACAUACGUGAGGGAGCUCCUUUUCUGUUUGCUAGAGGGGAUGCUGCCUGGUUUUUGAAUCAUUGAAUAAACCCAAUAAGAUCUUAAAAAAAAAAAAAAACAAAAAACAGAAAACAAACACACUGAUGUGUGCCCUGAAAUAAGAAAAUGCAUUAUCCUUGGUCACUGGAUAAAAUCACCCCAACUCCAAAUGUUUAGGCACGCGUGCAUGUGUUGUGAUUUACUAUGCAUGCUGUCUCAUGAAAAUUUUACAGUGCCUCCUUCAUUGGAAAGGAAGCAGGGAUUGUUCCCCGCAUUUGACAGAUGGGGGACUGAGGCCCAAGGCCUCAUAUCUCUUCAGUCUAAGAAGCAAAAACUUGCAUUGUGUGCCGAGGGCCAGGUGAAAGGAAUGGAGAGAAAGAAGAGCUUCCUAUGGGUUUGGAUGGUCGAGGAAGAUCCCUGGAAGAAGAUCAGUGGUUGAGCUGGGCUUUGAAGGAUAGACGGGCUUGUAAGUGACGAACAGAGAACUUUCUUGGAGGAGAAGACAAUGCAGAGAUACGGGGGGUCGUUUGGGGAAGGCACAGCGAUGAGCGUGGGAUAGUGAUACAGACAGUAACUGCCAUGUAAUGAAUGCAUGCAGUGCCCAUCGGUACGCCAGGUAAGUGCCUUCUGUGCCUUGUCUCACUCCCCAGCAACCCAGUCACAUAGGUACUAUUUUGACACCGUUUUUUUAGGGCCUGUGGAGAAAUGAAGUGAUUUGUCCACGGUCACACAGCUACAAGAGGCAGGCUUAGAAUUGGAACCCAUGACCGGGAGACUCUAAAGCCAUCUGGCCCACCUCAUUCCUUGUUGACAAAUGGGAAACAGGCCCAGGAGCAGUGGCCCAUGGGCCUGGGCAGGUGGACCGCGGUAGAUGGCGGUAGAUGGCAGCCUCACAGGAGGCUGGCCGGUUGGGUUUAACUGCAUAGGCUGAUUCUCAUCAUAGUCACUCACAGGGCUCUGCUUUCUUUCCAAAGGUUGGUGCAUCCUUUUGAAAUCCCAGAGGUCUUCAGCCUUCCCAUGGACCAAGGAGAUGUGCGCUAUCUAAAGUGGCUGGAGGAGGGCACGGGGGAGGACUGAGUGGGGGUGGCUCGUUGCAGGUCCCGCCGGCUGCCUCUAGCCUGCAGCAGCCGCCCUCUGGGGAGGCGGGGGGCCUCUAGCUGCCUCCUCGCAUCUCUGGAGCCUGCGUCUGUGUCAGCGCGGAAGAGCUGAGGAACUUGAGGAGGUGAAGGUCUGAGGCCCCCGAGGCUGGAGGAGGAGGCCGGGUUGGUCGGGCCAUGCAACGCAAUGGAACUGGAUUCUGAGUGCUUCAUGCUUAAAGGUGGCCAGGGGGCAGGAGGGUGAGGGCAGUUAUAUGGGGGGGGGGGGGGGAGGGCCCAGGGGAGAUGGCAGUGAGGGUGACGUUUGUCAUCUCCUGCAGUUACUGGGCCUACCUUGGGUGCCCAGGAUGCAGGAAGAAGACCUGGUGACCUGUUCAUCCGGUGUGUGGGAUGAAUGUCACUUUCUAGGGGAGCUGGCAAGCACUUUAUCCAAAAGGAUGAAUUGCUAAUGGUGGGGUUUCAGGGACAAGCAGGGUUAUUUUUUGUAACUAAAGAUGGUAUUUGUUAUUCCUGAAUGGUGGGAAUGGGCUUUGUGAUUGGGGAUAGGACUGCAGGAGUAUUAGGGCUUAGACACAGCUUCGUGGGUGGAAAUAGGUCUAGACUCCUCCUAGCCUGAAUGUGACAGGUAUCAGAAGGUUCUGGUGCCUUGCUCAUUAGAGACCUAGGUUCUGAGCCCAGGGUACUAACCUGGUCACUUGAGCAUUGAAACUGAGCAUCCUAAAGUAGGAAAGAACCUUGGGGAACUGCUAGACUAGGGUUUUUCAGACUUGUUCCCCUGAGCUAGCGGUCAACAGAAGGUACGGUACCCUGGGUGCUUCCUGGGUGGGGUAAGGGUAUGAGACCCGCUCCCCACCCGUACCUCAACCAAUAUAUACCUCAACCAGUAGAACUGUCUUGUAUCACUUUUAUGUAUUGAACUCCCUUGUAAGUUUUUUUGAGUUUUCUUUGAUAAAAGCUGAUAAACCAGGGGUCUAAGCCAGUCUCCAUUUUAUAGAUUACCAAAGGAACUGAACUGCACUGAGGUCUGGCAAGGGGGUGGCGUGUUAAGAACGGUAAAGCCAAGACCGCUCACCGUGUGUCUGGUACUCUGCUAUGCCUGCUCCCAGGUGUCAGGUGAAAGAGGGCAGGGGAGGCAGCACCCCUUUAGGGUGAGGAGAAAGAUUGACCUAGGUUCCCGCCCAGAAUCUGUCACGAGGUAACCCCACUCUGGGGAGACUGUGGGGUCCACAGGCCUCUUUGGUAUCUUGGGUCUUCCCAGAGGGAAGGAUAUGUGCAGAGCUAUUGCCAGGCUCGAGUUCUGACACCUACUGUGCUUCUUGAACCUUAGUUCCUCCAAAUAUAAAAUGGAGGCUCUCCCAGGGCCCUUUGGGAACACCUUGUAGGGACUUAAGGCCGAGGCCCUUCCAAAGCUCCAGAGGAUCCUUUUUUGAUAGCCAGUAGGGAUUUUGGAGGGCUACCUCAGGAGAAGGACAAAGAGAAUGAUACUGGUGAUGUCCCUUUUUACAACAGAUGUUUCUUUUCUUUUAAUUUUUUUAAAUGUUUAUUUUUGAGAGAGAGAGAGAGACAGAGUGUGACGGGGGAGGGGACAGAGGGAGAGGGAGACACAGAAUCCGAAGCAGGGUCCAGGCUCUGAGCUGUCAGCACAGAGCCCGAUGUGGGGCUUGAACUCCUGGACCACGAGAUCAUGACCUGAGCCGAAGUCGGAUGCUUAACCGACUGAGCCACCCAGGUGCCCCCUACAACAGAUGUUUCUGAUACACAGCAAAAUCUGGUGUGAAGUAAACCCUGCUGAAAACGCUUUGGGGACCCCAGACGGACUGCCUCUGUUGCUUUCAGGUUAGAGCCCAGUCUGUUGGUCUGCCUUUCAAGGCCCUUCAUAACCUUGCCUCAACUCGCUUUUCCCAUCUCCACCGCCCACCUCUCCUUGCCCACUGUGGCAAGUGGAUGGCUCCAGUAUGCUAUGUGAAGUUAUUCCUGCGUUCCGGACAUCCCCUCCGCCUGGAGUGCCCUUUUCCACGAACACCUGGGAAAUCUGGCUGCUCCUUUACAAGGCAGGCUCCCUCUGGGUUGGAAGGAAUCUCUCCGGCCUCAGUGUUCCUAUUAUCCUUGUGCAUUACAGCCAGCCUCCUAUUUCUAGAUUGUGAGCCGCUCGAGGUCAAGAGUAUGUCUGAAUCAAUUUGAUCUCUUGCACAGGGUUUGGCAAAUAUUUCCCAAAUUGAUGUUUCAAGGAUUUGAAUAAAGCUUUCUCUAUAGCCCAGUUACUUUCUAACUUAUGGAACUGGCAAAAUCCAGCUGCUUUUCCUUGACCUUUCCUAAAGUGGGACUAAUUCCAAAGGAGAUUUUCCUAUCUCUGGCCUUCAUUGGGUCAUUUUCGAUGCUGACUGUGCACAGAAAGCUUUCUUGGUGGACUUCCUUUGCCUCAGUGUCAUAGUUACCUACAGGAAAUGGGAGAGAACAAAAUAUCAGCUCUCUGCUGGUUUUAACUCAGUGUUCUCCGCAGCCUGCAGAAGAAUCCUGAGAUCAGGGAGCAUGACACCUAACAUAAGUGGCAGAGCUAGACUCUGAACCCAAGUCUGAUUCUAGAUCUGAUGCUCUUACUGCCUCUUUCAGAGGUUGGACAUACCCUUUUGUAGGCCAAACGCCCAGAGAGCCUACUGUAGCCAACUCUAAAGGAAGGGUGAGUCGUUCUGAAAACAUGUAUACAGUAAUCGGUCUGGCACUUGAAAAUGUACUGCAGUGUUUACUUGUCCCCACAGAUCCAGAGCCUGGUGACAGUAUCUUUGUUCUGCACAUCAGGGCACAGGACUAGAGGAGUUCAGUGAUUCUGCAGGUCUGUGUGACUCCCAGCUUACUACCGUAGACCACACUGCCCCCCACCCUGCCCCCUGAGUCAUCCUAUGGACCUGGGAUAGGACCUAGAUGAGUGGCUCCAUGCAGGAAUUCCUUCCCAGCAUUUCUCAGGAAAGGUAUGUUUUUUGAAUCCAGAAUCCCCAAAAAAAUCACUUGAGGAAAUGAAAAACAAUACUAAAAUUAUCUGUGAAUACUAACGCUUAAAAGCAUAAAGAUGUUAACUGGUUUGAAGGAAUCUAUCUUUAUCAAAUCAAAACAGAGCAAGAAAUACCAACACACGGAGUUGAGGGUGGAGGGACCCAGGGCAGGAGAGAAAUGGUUACCCACCAAUGAAUCUUGCUUGCGAUUGUUGCCAUGUCCUAGGUGUGUCUGUCGAGCCCUAUCUGCUGCAAACUGAGUUAUUUGUACAAAUAAGUUAAUACACAUAAUAUACUUUAUACAAAUCCUAUGAGCUUUGUUUGAAGAAAUAAGCUUUGGAAGCAAAAUAAAUUUUAAUUUAGCAAUUUUGA